CUCCAGCCCCACCAACCCUCCCUUUGAUCCCCAGCUCUGAUCCCCCGCCGCUACCCCUCGAUCCCCAGAUCAGAUUCACCACCCGCCAGCGACCUAGCCGACCACCCGCCGGAGCCGACCGCCGCGCUCUCGUCGUCUUCGUCUUCCCCUCCGAGCGACUCCCCUACUGGCUCCGUGUCGCGCUCUCGUCCUCUUCGUCUUCCCCUCCGAGCGCCUUCCUUACCGGCUCCGCGUCGCGCUCGCCAACGCCGUCGCCCCCCGCCACCGUUCCGAGCACUUGAUGGAACACGGUGCCAUGAAUCCUUCACCGUUCGCUGCUCCUUCGGGCUCUGCACCUCACUGACGUCCCCCUUUGUCACGGCCUCGGCACCACCGCCGGCAAGCUCUCCUUCACCAUAACUGCCUCCCUGCCCUGGGCUCUGACCUACCCACCAUCUCGAGCAGGUCCAGAUCCGCCACGGCUCCCGCAGCCACGCUCCAGUAGACCAAGCAGACAUGCAGGUGCACGACAUGUGGCCACCAUUCUGCUUCCUCCCCUCCCCUGCUUCCUUCGGCGGCAGCAAGGAGAGGUCUUCUUCCUCCUUGAUCUUGUGCAGUAGCAACAAUUCAAGGUCAUGGUCAUGGAGCAGCAGCCAUAUAUUUUUCUUCUUAUUCUUCCCUUAGAUCAGAUGAAGAUGAGAUGAGGCUUUGUUGGUCGGUCUUCAAUUCUUCAUGCUGCUGCUGCUACAUGAUGGCCCUCUUCAAUUCAGCAUCCGUUGCGGACGCCGCAGCUUCCACCUCCAGAAGAGAACCUGCUCCUCGUGCGGUUACCCGUCCGCCUGCAUCCGCAAGUGUGAAGUGCGAAUCCAUGUCUGAAGCUGUGAAGCAUAUCAGCAAAGAGUAGCAUAUUAUGUGUUGUAGUGUAGGCAGUAGUAGGCAUAUCUGGGUUGUAAUAUUCUGUAACUAUUGUAAUAGAUUAAUGUAGUAUUGUUUUGGACCAAUUUCAUUUGCUCUCUCGUCUGUUCGAAACAAUGAUUGUGUAUGUGAUUUGAAUACCUGUGAGAAAC